GCAGAUUGAAAAUUGCCUCCAAUGUCUCAGUCAUUGGGGGUAAGAUUACUCUGCCAACAGCAAUGUGGCUCAUCAAAGCUUAUUGCCAGUCCCAUGUGGCUGUGCAAUGAAACCCAUGUGCCCACACUC